rnacentral:rRNA from 1 species
CCUACGGGUGGCAGCAGUCGAGAAUCUUUCACAAUGGGGGAAACCCUGAUGGUGCGACGCCGCGUGGGGGAAUGAAGGUCUUCGGAUUGUAAACCCCUGUCAUGUGGGAGCAAAUUAAAAAGAUAGUACCACAAGAGGAAGAGACGCCAAACUCUGUGCCAGCAGCCGCGGUAAUACGGAGGUCUCAAGUGUUGUUCGGAAUCACGGGGCGUAAGGGGUGCGUAGGCUGCUUCGUAGGUCGUGUGUGAAGGGCGCGGGCCCAACCCGUGGACGGCACAUGGUACUGCGAGACUAGAGUAAUGGAGGGGGAAGCGGAAUUCUCGGUGUAGCAGUGAAAUGCGUAGAUAUCGGGAGGAACACUCGUGGCGAAGGCGGGUUGCUGGAC